rnacentral:lncRNA from 1 species
CGACGUGGAGGUAUUUUCUGUCAUAAUAACGCAUGAAUUAACAGCAGAAGAAAACAGUUGUAAGCAUGAUAGACUCUUGUAGAAACAAAGAAACAAAUUUUCCUAGAACGCCCCACAACCUCUUAAUCAUAGGUGUGGCACGCUACACACCGAUGCUCAAGAAUCUACGUAACGUGGCUUGUCAGACUCCCUAGGACUCUUCACAACCUUAGACUCUAAUACCAAGUUUAUAACGCUCCGAAAUAUCAUCCCGAGACACCACACGGUGCCCAAGGCUACACGUAGCCUCAAGCUAACCCUUUAACCCAAAACACUACCCUUGGGUUCCAACAUAACAACAUACAUGCUACAAUAAGGAUAUAUAUAUAAGUACAUAUCAUAUCAUAUCGCACAUAGCAAGGAAUAUCGUUAGACUAUACAUAUAUAGAAUGUCUAUACACAAACCAAACCAACAAUACACUAGUCUGACAUAGCCUCUAUACAACAAAAUCAACGAGUAUGUGGGGGCGUAUGCAAAAUAUAAAUAAUAUCAUAAAUUUCGUAAAAACGUAUAUACAGACCAUAAUGACACACCUGGCUUGAGUGACAUUGAAUCAUGCAACUCAUAACAUCUUAGAUAAAAAAUGUAGGAGAAAAACCUCAUAAAUCAUUAUAGAUCAUCAUAGGCAACUUGACUUACCACAUCAAAACUCGGAGUGACUCAGUAUUUCAAUAAACAUGACUCUUAUGGAUAGGGGAGUUUCCUAUAACCGACAACCCCACGUGAGCUACGUGGAAUACCAACAUUUGAAACUCUCGUUGGCAGGAGCAUCAUACUCUUUGCCAGGGAGUACGACCUUAAAACUGCAAUAAUCACAAUCGGGCUCUUUGGCCAAUAAUAUCAUCAUCAAACAACCCUACGGUGGCACAUAGGUUUGGGGAAAUACCAAAUUUCCCUCUAAAUGCUAAGUACUACUCCCCGACAAGCUUAGAACGCGUUAGGAAAUCCACCAUAACAUCACAAAGGUCUAUCAUAAAGAUCAAAUCAAAUCUCUUUUUCAUUUAUCAAAUCAUAUCAAUUUGUGGAUUCCUAACUCAACACAUUUUAGCUCAAAACAUUUUUAUCUUCCUCAACAUCAACAAGGUAUCAAUACAUUAAACCAUAACCAACUCGACAUUUGAACAAGGAUAUGAAGACUUAAUACAUAAUAUUUUCAACAAUUUAACUCAUCAAAACCAUCUGAAAAAAACCAAGACUCAUUGCAACUUCAAUAUCAACAUUUCUCAAUUUGUCAUCCAACUCACAUUUAAAGAUACUUAAGACAUCAACCCAUAGUAGAGAUAUAAAAUUUCCAAUAUCAAUUAUAAAUUCAUAAUAAGAAAAUAGUGAAAUGAUAGUAUAAAUCAAGACUUAACAAAUUAAAUCAUCAUACUCUCAUAAUCAAAUACUUUUUGGACAUAAUUUCAUCUCAACAUCAUGCACAUAUUGGAUGACAUAAUCUCAUAACUCAUAGACAAUAAUAUAAGAUAUAAAACCAUAUUUCCAAUUCAUGGUAAAACAUGUAAAAUCUCAUGUCAAUGUAACUCAACAAAAAUACCAGGCACAAUAUCGAAAGGAUAAUCUUGUUCAAAGCCCCACAUACCUAAAAAUGGAAGAUGAAUAUGAACUUCCGACUCCAAAACUUUAUUCAUGAAAAUAAAGGGUGCUUCUCGAAGCCUUUAACAUGAUCAACUCGAAUCCCAAAUCAAUUUGAAAUUUCUACAGUUCAAUCAAGAGACAUAGAAGGAUGAAAUUUGGAGUAGUAGGGUUGGGGUUUAAGCCUUAUAAAAUAUUGGAGAAAAAUGAUCUAUUGAAUACUCUAAUGGGCUUAAAUCCAUGGUUUACCUAGAUGGAUUGGAGUAGGAAUGACUAAAAUCCCCUUAAAAAUUAAAUAAUGUCAAAUAUAUUCUUUGGUGGACUGUUUUGAUAGGCUGAAUCAGAUUGACCAUAACUUUUUGCUCCGAUAGCCAAAUUGGAUGAAACCAAUUUCAUUGGAAAGAGGACUUCCAGAGCUUUCUGUUGAUAUAUAGUAGCUCACUCAGAUCAUUAUGUACAAGGAGUUAUGAUCGUUUGAAGUUGACCCUAAAUUUCGCCUUGCCUCAGUAUUUUUUUCCUUUCCUGCUGCACACUGCACACUUACUGUUCACCACUAUUCACGGUUAGAUCGGAAUGAUCAUAACUCAUUGCUCGAGUAUCCGUUUUGGAUGAUCCACAUAUCGUUGGAAAGCUUAUUCGAUGCUCUACGCGAUGACAGGUCACAUAUCCAGAAAUUCCACACAGAAAAAUUAUUAAUCACGAUAAAGAACAGAAUUCAACACAUUUUCGUCCGAGAUCUUAACGAAAAUAUUUUUCCGAGGCAUCACAUCGACCAUCGAGUUCCUGCCAGACAUAGCAGAAGCAUAGUAAGUUUAAACAAAAAGGAGAAUGAUGAAACAUAUGUAAAAAGUGUUUGGCAAAGAACAUGUGCGAGCUUAACUAAUAUUAGCAAACCAAAACCAUACACAUUUCUGAUUCUUUUAAUUUAUGAUAAAGUAUGGUGAUAUGUAACCCCUAUCCAACUUCAUCCCUUCAACAACUUCUAAUUAAUUGUCUAGUGUCUUCUCGUCCAGUGUGGUAGUAGAAAUAAGUUAGCUACAAAUCUUUACAAUACCAAGUCUGCCACAAAUUAGUCGAACUGUACCAAAUGGAUACAUAUUGGACUAUGACAAGAAGUUACUGAGCAAUAAAAUAAUUUAUCAAAAUAUAUAUGCUCGAUAUCUAGCCCAAAUUCUCCCAUAUAACCACUAAAAUUGAUAAGGUCUCAAUUAGCAAAAGUAAGCAAAAUAAUCAUCUAUUUCAGUUCCACCCACAUCCCAAGAGCAUAUCGAAACUUGAAGCUUCCUAAUUUUGGACACAUUUUAAGCUUAUAAUAUAAGUUAGGACCAUGGUGACCAAAAGACACAUACAAUCUCCGUAUACGGCAUACAUAGAUAGAUGGACAAUAGAAUUACUAACUUGAAUAGUAAUGACACCCUCCUUGCCUACUCUCUCAAUAGCCCUGGCAAUUAGAUCACCAAUUUCUAUUUCUCCAUUUGCAAAGAUAGUCCCAACCUCUCAAAAGUUACAACAUCAAACUCUUACGAGAAAAAUUGCAUCGCUUGAGUAAAAAAGAAGAUACAUAGAACUCUUCAGUGCAUAGUUAAAUCUUCUUUCCUGGGAGAUUUUUUUACUUUUUGCAUUUUUCCCCUUCUACUAGUAUCUCUUCCCUUUGACUACCUUUUUACUAGUUAUUUUCUAUUCUUUCUCCCUUUUCGGUAUGUGAGGUUGGGAAGGAGUAGUCUUUAGGCCUUCAAGGGAGGGAGGAGGUUGUCUACAAAAGAUAAGAGAUUUGUCCGCACCAAAAAGGCCUAAUAGUACUUUUAAAUCAUACCACUAGACAACAUUGGCAUAAUCAAUUUCCUAAUCAAUGUUAGCAAAGAUAUUAAAUUCCUACGCCAAGUUAACUUUCUGCACAACUACUUAAGCAGUAGCAGCUGCUACUUUGACUAUUACCUAGGCGAUGAGUUCUUUUUGAGCUUCGCAUUAUGCGAUAACCUAAUUCAACUAAAACCAAGCAAACAUUUGAUGGAACAGAAAAUCUUAAUCGUAAUAAACACUAAUAAGUAAUUUUAGAUUAUAUUCCCAAACACUGGUACCUUGAUUGAGAUAAAAGAUAAAAGCCAAAAUUAAAGCAGAUUAAAAAAGAGAAACUUAUCACCUUGAUUAAGAAUGUGCUAAAGCAAAAUAAAUUCAUGAGGUUUUCUUGUUAAAUCCUUGUACUAUGAUUAAGCCUUGUACACAAAUAUAGUACAAAGCUUUGUGAACAAAUAUAGUGCAAAGAUACAAACGACUAAACAUUUUGCAUCAACUUUCUGUAAUACCUGUUUCAUAUAAAAACAUCCCUUGUUUCAAAUGUAAAUAAAAAUACAAAAUGAGUGACAGAUUUGAGAAUCCCAAAGAUCUUUACCUACUUUUGUCUUGAGUUAGUGACAACUUACAUAUGUGGCAUCCUAUACGUAACCUUUUUAUAUGCAACUUACAAACGACCGAGCAUAAGUCAUCUUAUGAAACAAUUUAUAGGGAUAAUUUAACACAUAGAAACACAAAUAACAAUAAUAUACCCAGUGUAGUCUCAUUAGUCAUAAGUGGAGUCUGGAGGGUAGUGUGUAUGCAGCUUAAUCCUAUCUUGUGAAGGUAGCGAGGUUGAUUCCAAUAUUCAACACACAGAAAGACGAGGGAAAUUGUAUAAUGGUGAAUCUCUUCUUAAACAUAAGAUAAGGAUAAUACAACAUAGCAACUCACAAUGGCACUAGAUUCAUUUUUUUAUGAAGUCAUAACAACAACAGAUUCAUUUGUUCCAAAUCAAUCAAAGUUCAGAUUUACUGUUCAGUAGAACCAGUCAAUGGGUUUUGCGCCAAGAGAGCCAUGACAAGAAACAUGUAUAGGGAAACACAUUUGGGGCAGAAGAAUCUAGAGUAGUUUCAUAUAGUAAAGGCAAUGAAUUAUAAGGAUCUGGAUGAGUUUUAUAAAGGACUCAUCGAGCUGCAUCUCAAUCCCAAUAGGCCAAAAUCCAUGGAAGGAUAUGAAAUUAAACAGAAAACAAUAAUUUAUGUCAAUAUUUCCUAGCUCUUGUGGACAUUCUCAUAAGAAAUAUUCCCCCAAAUCUCAACAACAUACCCAGUGUAUUCCCACAUAGUGGAGUCUGGGGAGGGUAGAGUGUACACAGACCAUACCACUACCUCAAGUGAAGUAGAGAGGUUGUUUCCGAUAGAAUUCCCCCAAAUCUCAAAAACAGAAAUAUUCUUGUGGUAGAAAUGAACUCCUACAGGUCCUAGACCCCUCCGUCCCCUUGGACCAACAAGAGGUAGUACAAGAAUGUUCCUGAGGUUUUACCCCAAAUGUUCUGUUAGUGUACAUGUACACGAAGACAAGAGGAGAGACAUUGGAUUAUUACGUAUUUACUUCAGGGGAGAUUGCUUUCAAAAUUGGUAAGUUAUUAUUGACAGAUCCCUAAAAUCUAUGGUCUUGCAUUGAAACAAUUGCUAGAUAAUUCUUAAAGUUAUGAGAAGAUAUCAUCACUUACCUUGAAUCUCCCACAUGUGCCCUCGAUUUGCAAAAGAUUGUUCUAGACAAUUCAAAAUAUGAACAACACCUUUCAAGAAAUAGUCAUCAAUUUUUAGGUUAACAAAAUGCUAAAUCAAGCAAAGUAGAGAAAAAUAGAAAGUGGCCAAAGACGAAAUAGCAAAUUCUAUGUUUUUGCAUUCAUGCAUAGGCUAAUCGUGUAGUACAAACAUUUAGUGUAAGAUUUAUAACUCAUCUCUCAUCAUGCGUAUCACUAGACUUGCAACAUAUGUUAAUAUAUUAAUCUCAAACCACAAACAGAUAACAGAAGAUGGAACAUAUACUCACUGGAACUAAAACUAUAACUGAGUAAAGACUAUUUUCAGCAGAAUAUGUAACUUGAUGUAGUGUUCCCUUCAAUGGUAUCUGAAACCUCAGUCAAAAAAUAAACGAGAAGGCACAUAAAGAAAAUGUUAAAAUUCAGAUAUCCAUUGGGAGAAAUAAACAUCAAACUUUCUGUACUAAUGAUUUUGUACUCUAAUUAAUUGGAAAACGUUAGUAGAACUUAAUAUGCACUAGUUUAAUUAUCUUUGCAGGGAACACUCUUCAUGUUAUUGAAAAAGCUAAACACCAUGUCAUACUUAUAAUAGGAUAAUUCACAUCCCUUGACCAGUACUUCAAUUGCUUUAGAUGCAAUUGUCCCUAGCUUUGAAAUUUAUACUAAUAAUAUAAUCCCCUAUAAUUAAUCAACUAGAUAGCCACUGUCAACUUCCUUAGUAAUCACUUUCAUCAAUCAAUUAGCUAACAAUUAUACAAUCAUAUCAUCUUUGUUGAAGCUCUCAUAGGAUAUGCCAAAAUUUCUAACCUCCGUCCACAACUGGAUAUCCAUAAAUAUAAUUGACAUAAGCACAUAUUGUGAUGUCUUAAUGUUUACUAGUGCUGACCUAUAGUUUCUUCUUCCCCACUAGAUUCUUUGUGCUUCAGGGAAUUGUGGGUUAACAAACUAUAAGCCUCCAAAGUAGUAACAAAAACAAAAUAAUCGAUCCAUAAACUACAAUACGGUAAAUAAAUUGUUAAGUCAGUAAUCAAAGUGAAGCAGUGGAGAGCUGAAAUUUGGUAAAAAAAUACCUUAAAAUCACCAAAUUAAAAGAAAAAAACAAAUUUGCUAGAAAAUUGAAGUGCAAAUUUGAGAGUUCAAAUUGAAGUGGUUGUCAGAGCAAUGGAGAAGCUGAUCUGUGAUCCGAGCAUGCACUGAUGGUCGAUUUGUCAUCGAAACAUGCACUGGUGGUUGAUUUGUGGUCGGAGCACGCACUAGUGGUCGAUUUGUGGUCGGAGAAUGCAAUGGUGGUCGAGUUUGAGGCCGGAGCAUAGUACGGUGGCAAUUGUGGUCGGAGAGUAUUAUCGAUAGCGAUUGUGAUAUAGUACUGGCGGUGAUAGUGGUGUAAUACUGCUGGAGAUUGUGGUGUAGUACUGGUGGAAAAUUUUACUUGAUCGGAGAGUCUUGGUGGAGUAGCGUAGUACAACUAGUUCCACUGAGAUUUUGCUUAUAUAUUUAUCUAAUCUUUUC